GACGAACGCUGGCGGCGUGCCUAAUACAUGCAAGUAGAACGCAGUGGCGAACGGGUGAGUAACGCGUAGGUAACUGCCUCAUAGCGGGGGAUAACAAUAGGAAACGAUAGCUAAUACCGCAAACUGUGAGAGGGACCUGCGUUGUAUUAGCUAGUUGGUGAGGUAAAGGCUCACCAUGGCGACGAUACAUAUCCGACCUGAGAGGGCGUUCGGCCACACUGAGACUGAGACACGCCCCAGACUCCUACGGAAGGCAGCAGGAGGGAAUCUUCGGCACUGGACGGAGGUCUGACCGAGCAACGCGGCGUGAGUGAAGAAGGUUUUCGGAUCGUAAAUCUCUGUUGUUAGAGUAUCGGUAACUAACCAGAAAGGGCCGGCUCACUACGUGCCAGCAGCCGCGGUAAUAC
rnacentral:rRNA from 1 species